AUGCAAGUCGAACNNNNNNCAGCGNAAGCAGCUUGCUGCUUUGCUGACGAGUGGCGGACGGGUGAGUAAUGUCUGGGAAACUGCCUGAUGGAGGGGGAUAACUACUGGAAACGGUAGCUAAUACCGCAUAACGUCGCAAGACCAAAGAGGGGGACCUUAGGGCCUCUUGCCAUCGGAUGUGCCCAGAUGGGAUUAGCUAGUAGGUGGGGUAACGGCUCACCUAGGCGACGAUCCCUAGCUGGUCUGAGAGGAUGACCAGCCACACUGGAACUGAGACACGGUCCAGACUCCUACGGGAGGCAGCAGUGGGGAAUAUUGCACAAUGGGCGCAAGCCUGAUGCAGCCAUGCCGCGUGUAUGAAGAAGGCCUUCGGGUUGUAAAGUACUUUCAGCGGGGAGGAAGGGAGUAAAGUUAAUACCUUUGCUCAUUGACGUUACCCGCAGAAGAAGCACCGGCUAACUCCGUGCCAGCAGCCGCGGUAAUACGGAGGGUGCAAGCGUUAAUCGGAAUUACUGGGCGUAAAGCGCACGCAGGCGGUUUGUUAAGUCANAUGUGAAAUCCCCGGGCUCAACCUGGGAACUGCAUCUGAUACUGGCAAGCUUGAGUCUCGUAGAGGGGGGUAGAAUUCCAGGNGUAGCGGUGAAAUGCNUANAGAUCUGGAGGAAUACC
rnacentral:rRNA from 1 species